rnacentral:rRNA from 1 species
AUGGCCUGGUCACAUUUAUGUGAGCAUGUGAUCCUUGGUCCAUUGCAAGGCAACCUGGUGCAUGUAGCUCCCGCUUGCGCAGGAUCCGGGGAAGGGUCCGACCACUUUGGGUCUAUAUGGUGGUGGUGGUGGUGGUGGUCUGAGGCUGAACUACUACUCCGAGAGCUGCCUGAGGGCAGAGGAGAUCAUCAAGGAGCAGGUGAGGUGAAGAGCAUGUGCGAGGAGCACGGCAACACGGCCGUGUCGUGGCUCGGGGACCUCUUCCACGAUUGCACCGUCAAGUCCUGCUACUCAGAAGGACGACGCCAGGGGCCUCGCCUCCGAGCAGUCCUCCCCAAGGAGCUUCGGCAUGCACAACUUCAAGUACAUUGA